GGCGCGGUAGCUCAGUUGGUUAGAGCGUAUGAUUCAUAAUCAUAAGGUCUCCGGUUCAAUCCCGGAUCGCGCUA
rnacentral:tRNA from 1 species